rnacentral:rRNA from 1 species
AUGUAUUCAGGCCAGCAGUCUGAUCAAGGUCCUGCUGCAAAUAGUGGAAAAGAGUUCUUGGAGGGGAAUUGGGGGUCUGAAGCAAUGCAUCAAAAGAUGGGGUAUGACAGUGGGGCAUAUGGAUUUCAAGCUUAUGGCAUGGAGUUAGAAGAGAGACCAGGUACAUUCUCCCAAAACAUCCAGAUGAGUGAUGAGCAUAGUGGUGGUGUGAAGAAAAGGAAGGGAACAGAUGACUGCAUUGCGUUGCUAAACCCAUCAGCCAGUAGCAAGAAUGUGGGUGAUCAACAAGCAGAGGUUUCGUCUCAGCCGGAAAGGAACUCGGUGGAGAGGGACAACAGGAAGAUCUCGCCCAAAACGCAAAGCAAGGAAGAUUCUUCGGAUGGUGAUGGCACUAAAGAAAAUUAUGUUCAUUUCCGGGCAAAGCGAGGCCAAGCCACUAACAGCCACAGCCUUGCGGAAAGACUGAGGAGGAAAAAGAUAAGUGAGAGAAUGAAGCUUCUUCAGGAUCUUGUUCCAGGGUGUAAUAAGAUAACUGGCAAGGCAGUCAUGCUUGAUGAGAUAAUCAAUUACGUGCAGUCAUUACAACGACAAGUAGAGUUCUUGUCAAUGAAACUUGCAACUGUGAACCCUGAGCUUGGCUUUGAUAUUGAGCAGAUUCUGUCCAAACAAAUGAUGCUUUCUCAAGACAGGCGCCUUGGUUUCUAUGGAGCUGACCCAGGAUCAAGCGCCCUUAUUGCUCAUUUCAACCAAGGAAUGAUGCAUCCAGAUAUGAUGUGCAAUGCUUCCAAUCCAGCGGGUGCUCUGCACGGAACAAUUCACGACAUCUCCAUGAUGAACCAGAUGCCUGAGAUGUGGGAAACUCUUCAGAACAUUCCUCAUAUGAACUUCAACCCUGCUGUGGCUGCAGAUAGCAGCACCAACAAUGCUGGUCCCAUGAAGAUUGAACAGUGA